GACGAACGCUGGCGGCGUGCUUAACACAUGCAAGUCGAACGAAGUGGCGAACGGGUGAGUAAUACGUGGGUAACCUGCCCUCCUUUUUGGGAUAAGCCUUGGAAACGGGGUCUAAUACCGAAUAAAGGGGGUUGGGCUCGCGGCCUAUCAGCUUGUUGGUGGGGUGAUGGCCUACCAAGGCGGUGACGGGUAGCCGGCCUGAGAGGGUGACCGGCCACAUGGGAGCGGAGAAGCGGCGCAGAGUCCUACGAGAGGCAGAAGUGGGGGAUAUUGCACAAUGGGCGAAAGCCUGAUGCAGCGACGCGGCGUGGGGGAUGAAGGCUUUCGGGUUGUAAACCUCUUUCGCAAUCGAACGGAUAGGUGGAGAAGAAGCGCCGGCUAACUACGUGCCAGCAGCCGCGGUAAUAC
rnacentral:rRNA from 1 species